UGGAAUGUGGCCACGUCUGCCCCUCCUUGAUUUGGGCGUAGAAGUGCAUCCGUAACAUGCUACAUGAAUAACAGACUUCUCAGGGCUGCCAACUUUACAGCAGAGGUUGAGUGGUAGUAUAUUUCUCCUACACAC
ensembl:snoRNA